UAGGGAAUCUUCCGCAAUGGGCGAAAGCCUGACGGAGCAACGCCGCGUGAAUGAUGAAGGUCUUCGGAUCGUAAAACUCUGUUAUUAGGGAAGAACAAAUGUGUAAGUAACUAUGCACGUCUUGACGGUACCUAAUCAGAAAGCCACGGCUAACUACGUGCCAGCAGCCGCGGUAAUACGUAGGUGGCAAGCGUUAUCCGGAAUUAUUGGGCGUAAAGCGCGCGUAGGCGGUUUUUUAAGUCUGAUGUGAAAGCCCACGGCUCAACCGUGGAGGGUCAUUGGAAACUGGAAAACUUGAGUGCAGAAGAGGAAAGUGGAAUUCCAUGUGUAGCGGUGAAAUGCGCAGAGAUAUGGAGGAACACCAGUGGCGAAGGCGACUUUCUGGUCUGUAACUGACGCUGAUGUGCGAAAGCGUGGGGAUCAAACAGGAUUAGAUACCCUGGUAGUCCACGCCGUAAACGAUGAGUGCUAAGUGUUAGGGGGUUUCCGCCCCUUAGUGCUGCAGCUAACGCAUUAAGCACUCCGCCUGGGGAGUACGACCGCAAGGUUG
rnacentral:rRNA from 1 species